UACAGAGGGUGCGAGCGUUAUUCGGAAUUACUGGGCGUAAAGCGCACGUAGUCGGCUUUGCAAGUCGGUUGUGAAAUCCCCGGGCUCAACCUGGGAACUGCAUCCGAGACUGCAUUGCUAGAGUAUGGGAGAGGAAAGCGGAAUUUCUGGUGUAGCAGUGAAAUGCGUAGAUAUCAGAAGGAACAUCAGUGGCGAAGGCGGCUUUCUGGACCAAUACUGACGCUCAGGUGCGAAAGCGUGGGGAGCAAACAGG
rnacentral:rRNA from 1 species